rnacentral:lncRNA from 12 species
UUAGCGCCUGCCUUUGGCCCAGUCCCGAAAUCGAGUCCCACAUCAGGCUCCCGGCAUGGAGCCUGCUUCUCCCUCCUCCUGUGUCUCUGCCUCUCUCUCUCUCUCUCUCUCUACGUCUAUCAUAAAUAAAUAAAUAAAUAAAUAAAUAAAUAAAUAAAUAAAUAAAUAAAUAAAUAAAUCUUUUUUAAAAUUGCAAAACACAUAUCUGAUAAAAGAUUUGUAUCCAAAAUAUACAAAGAGCUCUUAAACUUGAUACAAAACAAACAACUCAGUUAAAAAAUGGGCAAAUUAAAAAAAAAAAAAAGGGCAAAUUACCUGAAUAGACUCUCACCAAAGAAGUUAUGCGGAUGGAAAAUAAGCAUAUGAAAAGAUGCUCAACAUCACGUCAUUAGGGAGUUACACAUUAAACAACUACAUGCCUCUUAGAAUGACCCAAAUCCAAAGAAAAGACAAUACCAAAUGCUAGCAAGGAUAUAGAGCAUCGGGAACUUGGAUUCAUUGCUGGUGGGAAUGCAAAAGGUACAGCCACCUCAAAACACAAUUUGGCAGUUUCUUACAAAAUUAAACAUAGUCCUUUCAUACAAUCCAGCAUUGCACCUCAAAGUAUUACCCAAGGUAUUUAUGUCCACACAAAACCUACACAUGAAUGUUUAUAACAGCUUUAUUCAUAGUUGUUGAAGACUGGAAGCAACCAAAAUAUAUUUCAGAAGAUAAAGAGGUAAUAAACAAUUUGUAGUAACCCACAAUAGAAUAAUAUUCCUUGAUAAAAAGAAAUGAUCUAUCAAGCCAUGAAAAGACCUAAAGGAACCAGGAUUUGGCAGGGCUACAUCCCAAACAGCCCUAUAUUGCCCAUUUGUACACAGGUGCUGUUUUUGCAAGUGUCAAAGCAGCAGAGUGGUUGCACAGAUGACUUUGGAGCCCCUUUGCGGGUAAUAGGGCAGCUUUCUAGAAAAGUCACCCCUUAUGUAUGGAAUGCACUUUGGAGACCAGGGCCUCUUGGGAGCCUCUGGGGUGGAAACCCUGAGCACGGAUGCUUCUGCUGGUGGUGUGCCUGUGUCCCAUUGACACCUGCAUUUGGGAGAAGGCAUUGGGAUAUGAUAAACACAGUAUUGGGCAGAGGUUGUGAGAGAAUAGUGAUAACGAAUUACAGAUGUGGAAAAUAA